rnacentral:tRNA from 1 species
GGGCAUGUAGUUCAGUGGUAGAACGCGUUCCUGAUAAGAACGAGGCCGAAGGUUCGAUCCCUUCCAUGCCCA